UCGGCCAGGACAAACAGCUGGCGGGUGUCAGGGACCGCCUCGGCGCCGCGCGCCCCGGCGCACCGUGCCCGGCUCUCGCCACGACUUCACCUGGGACUCCAGGAGGCACUGCGCUGGCAGUGCGCGGCAGCCGUGGCAGCCGCUGAGGGGUGGGUGGCCGUGCCCGAGGAAGUGAACUUAUUUUGUUCCUUCACAAAAGACUGGACCAGGCGGUGCCUUCCUCGCGAGGACACCUCCUCGGGCGCCCUGUGUGCGCCGGGCAGCACCUCUGGCCCCGGGCGGUGAUCGUUUCGCAGAAAAUGCACCGCCCCGAGUGUCUUAUUGCUGUGAUGAAAUGGAAAUUUAAAUAAAAGGUCGAACACGUGCGUUCACUGGGAAGUAUUGACAUGGGUGUUACAUCACCAGCAGCCAAUCAGAUGACUCCAGUCGUGUUUAUACUUCUACAACCACCUUGUGAGUAUUACAGUAUGUCAUAGCGUUAUAAAUAUUAGGCAGGGUUUUCCCCACGAGCGGGGAGGAGUCAGCUGCUGCGGGCGCUGCGUGCGGCUGCAAGGAGAGAGCCGCUCCGGAGACAGCCUGUGCAGAUGAGAAUGAAUUUUCAGGACUUUUGAGAAGACGCUGUUGGCUUCGCGUGUGGAGUUUAGAGCGAUUAGGACGGUCGAACCUGCAAACGAACCUCCCGUACUUAUGUUAGUUGAGUUUUUCAGGAGGAGGCUUGCCAGUUAGCCCUUAAACUUACCUUCCUUUUAAUUAUGCUCUAUUUAGAAACCUUUAACACGUUUAGACUUUUACUAAUUUACACAGUGAUACCUGUUUUUAUUUACUUAUUUGUUUUUUUUUAAUUGGGGUUUUUUUUUUUUUUUUGAAACACGAUCUUCCAGGAGGCAGGCGCAUCUCCCAGUUUCAGGUUAGCCAGGGAUACACACUGAGACCUCGUCUCAAAAUAAAAGAAACAGGGCUCUGCUAUCUAGCCCAGGCUGAUCUCGAACUCACAGCAGUUCUCCUGCCUCAGUAUCCCUAGUGCUGGAAUUGAGGGUGUACACCACCCACACAAGAUUAAUCUUAAAAUUCUUUUGUUCAAACUUAUUUCAGGCUUUUAUUUCCUUUUUCUUUUCCUUUUUUGUUUUUUUUUUAAAUUUAAAGACAGGGUUUCUAGACUCUCGCUGUCACUAGACCAGGGUGGCCUCCAACCCACAGAGAUUCCCCUGCCUCGAGCCCCUUUUCCCUUUUGGGUGGGUUGGGCUGGGCUGGGGUGGAGAGAGGAGCCAGCAAAGGAUCCCUCCACUUUACAGUUUUAAAGAUACUGGAACCUGGAUAGACGGCUGUUCUUCCGGAGGAACUGGCUGGUUCCCUGGAGCUCCAGCUACUGGGGAUGUGACAGCUCAUCUGUCCCCAGGCACCAGGCAGCCCAUGGUGCACAGACAUACAUGCAGGCGAUACACAAAUGCAUUUUUUUUUUAGUUUAAAGCUAUGUGUUACAAUUCUCCAAAGUGUUAUAAAUUACUGUUUGCCAGUAGGGGUUUUUGUUUUGUGUUUGUGAGCCGGCUUUCUCUGCAGCCUGGCUGGCCUUGACUGGGGUUAUGCCUGGACCUCCAUGCCCAGCUAUGUAGGUGGAGUUUUGGGGUUAUUUUGUUUAUAGGUCUCACUUCAUACCUCUGGCUGUCCUAGAACUCAGUGUGUAGCUCAGACUGCCUUCUAACUCAGGCAAUCCUGCCUCACUUAAGUGCUGGAAUUCAAGGUGAGAGCCACUAUGUCCAAUUGCCUUAACUAAACACAAGCGUGAAUAUUGAGAUUUGUGUGUUGAUGUUGACUUUUCAAAGCCACUUUGACUUAACUCACCUUAAUUUUAGGACCCGAUGUACUGCUGUUUUGUAUGUGAAAUGAAAUUGGUUAAUUCCAAUGUGAUUUUGUGUUUAUUUGCCCGAGUUGGUCUCUUACCUGUCAUGAAGACUGGCAGGACUGCAGUUGCACAGAGAGCCAUGGAGCUUGGAUUAUCUUCCCAGCGAUGAGCUUCUCCUCACCGAAAUAGACUCAGUGGUCACCAUGCUGGAGCCCCUUAUCCCGAGACGGCUGGCAUGGUGGCACAUCCCUGUGAUAUAAGUAGAGGAAGAGAGCCACAAGCUAAAGGUCAUCCUUAGCGCAUAAAGUCUGAGGCCAGCCUGGCAUUCAGGAGCUCCUGUCUCAAGAGAAAGAUGAUGAAUGGUUGAAUGAUGCUACAUUCAUGUAGAGCUCUUCGUGAUGGGCCCACAUAAGGUUCCCCUCCAACACUUGACCUUCCCGCCCCAGCAAGACUUGCAGACUUGCAUAGUGGGGCACACUUACUGGAGUCUCAGCACUCAGGAGACGGAGGCAGGAGAAUCUCAAGUUCGACACUAGCAUGGCCUGCACAGUGAAACUCUUUCUACAAAGGAAAACAAAAGCCAAACUAGACAGCCAUGCAUCUGGCUGGGCCAGGUAAUGGAAGGAGAAGAAAACACAAGCCCCUUUGGACGACCUGCUCUGGGCAGUCGACGCGCCGACACCAAGCCAGUCUUCCACAGCAUACUGUAGACAUACUCCUUACUGUCUGAGGGUACAGGGAUGCCAACUGAAAUGAGGUAGGCCUGUUGUUUUCCUGCUCCUGAAACGAAUUUUUACCUUGGCUUACUAAAUUUCUUGACCCAGCUCUGUUUUCCCAGUCAGUCAGAGCCAGAGGUAUGUUCUGCAAGGCCCACGAAACACUUGGGCUCACUGAGCAGGUACAAUUCAGGUCUGAGCUUCUUGCCACCCUUGUUUAAGUCACCUGACCCCACAGCCCCGGGAUUCUAUUAUUGACUCUCCCUGUAUGAUGCCCUUCAGGUUUGCUCCAAAGACACAUGGUGGAGUCGUGAUUCGGAGAGUUCAUUCUUCUCAAGUGUUCAAUGUCCCUUUAGAUCCCUUUAGAUGCAUUAACAUCUACAAAGUCACCUGCAGGUGAUAGACCCAAGUCACACCCACACAGUUUGAUGUCCAGGGACAAGUUCCUUAAUAUCUCUAGAUGGAUCCUGGUUUCUUUAUCUAUAAAAUGGAACUAAUAAUAGGGUAAGAGAGGCCUCCUGAGUUCGUUGUGAAGAUUUAGCGAAAUCGUGUGGGUAAAGCACUCAAUAUGAGCCGGAAUAGAUGCUAUCCAGAUGAGAGGUGGGGCAGCUACCCUGCUCUGACAUGUGGUCUUGUGCAUACGUUGUGAAAUGUCACACUGUGCCCCUGAGAUUUUAUAAUUGUUGGGUGUCAAUUAAAAUUAUCAAAGUAGUAAAAAGAUAAUACAGUCUCUGCUUCCAAAAAAUCACAGUCUAAUAUGUAUUGACAAUCAUCAGAGAAAAUGUAAAAAGGCGACAGGGGUCAGGAGGGAAAAGAGAGAUGGUUCAGUGGUUAAGAACAUUGGCUGUUUCUCCAGAGGACCUAGGUUCAAUUUUCCAGUAUUACAUGGCGGCUUGCAACUGUCUGUUACUCCAGUUCCAGGGGAUCUGACAGCCUCACACAGACAUGCAUGCAGGCAAAACACCAAUGGACAUAAAAUAAAAAUAAAAAUUUUAAAAGAGAAGGAAAAGAAUAGAGAACUUUUAGAGAAUAGGAAGUGAGAAUAGGGUAGGGUAGGGUAGAAUAAUAGAAUCGAAUCACUAGAAAGAAUAAUGGAAUAAAAUUCUUUGGGGUCAUCAAGAUUAUUUCUCUAGGACCGGGUGAUGGUGGCACAUACCUUUAAUCCCAGCACUUGGGAGGCAGAGGCAGGCAAUGUGUGUGUGAACCAACCUGGUCUACAGAGCGAGUUCCAGGACAGGCUCCAAUGUUACACAGAGAAACCCAGUCUCAGGGGACGGGGUGAUUAUUGUUAUUGGGCUUAGUCUUGUGUGGGUACCUUCUGGUGCUCUGAGUUCAUGAGGCAAGGACCGCGUCACCUCCAAAGAACAGUCUUUCACAACAGUUUUAAAUUUCUUCUCCCAUUUCUUCUGUGGUACUUCCUGGGUUCUGUAUUGAGUUGAGGGUGGUAGUGAUGUUCUCUUCCAGGAUAAGCACCAAAAGUCACUUAUUCCCAGCACUUUGACUAGUUAAGAGUCUCUGCAUUCCUCUUUGCCAACUCCAGAUAUGUUUCUUUAGUCAAGGCUGAGAGCAUCGUUAGUGUAUGGGGUCAUUCGAUACCAUGUCUGUCUAGUAAAAUAGUGACAGUAGGCCAAUGGCCUCCCAGUCACAGACUUUUGACUGGUUUUACAGUACCAGGUAUGGAUUCCUCUUGUACAGGAGUAGAUCUAGACUCCAAUCAGAAAAUCUAUGGUUACUGUCAUAACAGACAUGUCACCUUUGAUAGCAUAACAGUAGAACAGGGUUCUAUGAUGACGUCAAAGUAGAACAGGGUCACCCGUGAUGACGUCACAGCAGAGCAGGGUCACCCGUGAUGACGUCACAGCAGAACAGGGUCGCCUGUGAUGGCGUCACAUUAGAACAGGGUCACUUGUGUUUUCAUCACAGUAGAGCAGGGGCACCUGUGAUGUCAUCACAGUAGAGCAGGGCCGCCUGUGAUGACGUCACUGUAGAGCAGGGUCACCUAUAACGGCGUCACAGUAGAACAGGGUCACCUGUGAUGACGUCACAGUAGAGCAGGUAAGAAACAUAAACCGCAUGUGCAGCAGGCAUUUAGAAGAUAGUCUGCACUGGAGAUUUUUCAACAUAUGUUUGGAAAUUACCAAUUUAUAGCAAGUCAUUAAAUCAGAGUAGAUGAAAGAAAUGAAGGAAAACACACCAAGAGGACGUGCCAUUGCAAUUAUGACCACCUACCUAAGGCCUGCAAAAGACUCAUACAAGACCUACAAACAGGAGAGGGGCUGAUACGGAAGAAGGAGGCCACCAGGAAUAGGAACGGAUACAAGAAGAGAGUUCCAAGUGACGAUGUCCAUGAACAAGGCAAGACCCCUGUUCUCCUAGAGUUGAGAUUCUAAAAGGAAGAAAAGACAAACAGCAAUAGCUAUCCAUAGUUCUGGUUGGCUUUAUGUCAGUGUGGCACAAGCUAUACUCAUCUGAGAAGGAGACUCAAUUGAGAAAAUACCUGCAAAGAUCAGGCUGUAUGCAAGCCUAGAGUGCAUUUGAUCGAUGGCGAACGGCCCAGCCCAUUGUCAGUGGGACCACCCUGGAGCUGAUGGUCCUGGGUUCUAUAAGAAAUUAGGCUGAGCAAGUCAUGGAGCAAGCCAAUAAGAAGCACUCCUCCAUGGUUCUGUGUCGGCUCCUGCCUCCAAGUUUCUGUCCUGUUUGAGUUCCUUGCCUGACUGCUGUCAGUGAUGAAGAGUGUAAGCCAAAUAAACCCUUUCUUCUCUAA